GGAAAGGAUGUGAUACUGUAUAAUGUUUAUCGAGACCAUGCUAGCCCAGUGGCAAAAGCAAUCAUUCUAUCAAUUGAUCGGAGAAAGUUGGUAGGUGGUCAGGAGCUUGGCCUUGAAUAUUGUGAGGUUGUCGUGAACUAUGUAAUAAAAAGGGAUGCUAUACUACCUCGUGGUAUUGGGAACAUGAACACCAUGGGGCAAGCUCAAGGGCGGUGCAUCGCAUAGCCAUACAAGCAUUUGGAAGUGGACAAGCCCAUGGCAAAAGCAGGAAUGCAACCACAAGCAAGCUGAGGAGAUGGAAGAUUUUUGUAUGUGCACUUCAAACAAUCCCUGCUUGAUCUAAUGAUGUUUCACUACAGAAGUUGACGGAGAUUAGGAAGAUCUUGAAGCUGCUUAAGAUUUGGAAGACUGAUGAUUAAGUUGGAGGAGUGAUGAUGUAAUAUGCUUUGUUUGUUGAACCUGGACAGUUGCUCUGUUCAUUUUGCUGGUUAAGCCCCUAUAUGCUCAUUUUGGUUGUGU